GAUGAACGCUAGCGGCAGGCCUAAUACAUGCAAGUCGAACGGCAAGUUGAGUAGCAAUACUUGACCUAGAGUGACGUACGGGUGCGUAACACGUAUGCAACCUACCCAAAACAGGAGUAUAGCUCGGGGAAACUCGAAUUAACCCUCCAUAAGAUAGUAGAAGAGCAUUCUUUAGCUAUUGAAACUCAGGUGGUUUUGGA
rnacentral:rRNA from 1 species